rnacentral:lncRNA from 1 species
ACACACACAGCCCGUCUCGCGCCUGAGGUCUCGCCCGCAGGCCGGUGGCGCGGGGUCAGCUGCUGCCUGCGGUCCAGGACAGGGUCGGUUCCGCCGCGCAGCGCCCAGGCCCAGCUCGUCCAGAGUCUGCGGACAGCGCACGUCCAGGCACUUUCCCACACAGGAUGGAGCCGGGCCACCCUCACAGCUCCUGCCCUGCAGACGCUGGCCUUGUGGAGGGAGGCAGGCAGCAGGAGCAGUGCUUUCUGGGCCUCUGUAGCCAGAGCUGGCCCUGCUGCAGCUUACGUCUGCCUGCAGCCCAGACGUCCUCCUGGUCCUCCUGAUGCCCCCGACCUCCACGGAGGACGAGCAUUUCCAGCCCAGCCCUCCCCAUCUUCACCUCGCACUCCCCUGACACACUGGGAGCCUCCUGAUCCGUGAACCCGCGCUGGCGGGAGUAGCUACUGACCGCUGGGGACCCCUGCCCAGGCUGUUCGCAUGUGGAAAGGAUUCAGGGAGCAGGCGAUGCCCAAAGCGUGGAGACCAGCACUGCUCUCUCCCCAGUGACAGGUGCACGCCCAGAUCACGGAUGUGUCGGGAACAGCUGUGCUCCUGCUGCUCAGCGUCCGUCACUCCAGGCUGGGAGCGGGUCCCCAAGCUUCUGGCUGGGCCUAUCCGUCUCCACUCUCAGUGUGGGGGUGGGGGGCGCCAACAGCACGCAUUUGCUCUCUGCACUUCUCGUCUGAUAAUGGGCAGAGGGUCCUUCUGCAGCCCCAAAACAUCCCUAGGCAGGAGCCCUGGGGCCCCAAGCAGCCAGGGAGGUGAGC